UGGCAUAAUGGUUAAGUGUUUGGCUGUUAACCAAAAGAUCGGCAGUUCAAACCUACC
rnacentral:tRNA from 1 species